AUUGAACGCUGGCGGCAUGCCUUACACAUGCAAGUCGAACGGCAGCGGACCUUCGGGUGCCGGCGAGUGGCGAACGGGUGAGUAAUAUAUCGGAACGUACCUUUCAGUGGGGGAUAACGUAGCGAAAGUUGCGCUAAUACCGCAUAUUCUGUGAGCAGGAAAGCAGGGGAUCGCAAGACCUUGCGCUGAUUGAGCGGCCGAUAUCAGAUUAGCUAGUUGGUGAGGUAAAGGCUCACCAAGGCGACGAUCUGUAGCGGGUCUGAGAGGAUGAUCCGCCACACUGGAACUGAGACACGGUCCAGACUCCUACGGGAGGCAGCAGUGGGGAAUUUUGGACAAUGGACGCAAGCCUGAUCCAGCCAUGCCGCGUGAGUGAAG
rnacentral:rRNA from 1 species